rnacentral:rRNA from 1 species
UACGUAGGGUGCAAGCGUUGUCCGGAAUUAUUGGGCGUAAAGAGCUCGUAGGCGGUUUGUCGCGUCUGCUGUGAAAACGCGAGGCUCAACCUCGCGCCUGCAGUGGGUACGGGCAGACUAGAGUGCGGUAGGGGGAGAUUGGAAUUCCUGGUGUAGCGGUGGAAUGCGCAGAUAUCAGGAGGAACACCGAUGGCGAAGGCAGAUCUCUGGGCCGUAACUGACGCUGAGGAGCGAAAGCGUGGGGGAGCGAACAGG